rnacentral:lncRNA from 1 species
UAAAAUUUGAGCAAGAUGCAGACAUCAUUUUAGUUGAACAUCAGAUCUAUUUAUCCAGCUCUGUCACCUAAAGCUGAAAGGGCAGCUGUUAAGAAGCCGUUGCUGGGGCCUAAAGCAAUGGGAUAUUGUGGAUGACACGCAGCACAUCAGCGAGCCAGGGGACAUCCUUAAGGCUGUUUCAUUCCUCUGAGAUUGUCUCUUCUUCAUCAGUGACCCUGCU